GAGGACGUCUGAGCCAUGCUCGCGGCGAUGGGCUCUCUGGCGGCUGCCCUCUGGGCAGUGGUCCAUCCUCGGACUCUCCUACUGGGCACUGUCGCCUUUCUGCUCGCUGCUGACUUUCUCAAAAGACGGCGCCCAAAGAACUACCCGCCGGGGCCCUGGCGCCUGCCCUUCCUUGGCAACUUCUUCCUUGUGGACUUCGAGCAGUCGCACCUGGAGGUUCAGCUGUUUGUGAAGAAAUAUGGGAACCUUUUUAGCUUGGAGCUUGGUGACAUAUCUGCAGUUCUUAUUACUGGCUUGCCCUUAAUCAAAGAAGCCCUUAUCCACAUGGACCAAAACUUUGGGAACCGCCCCGUGACCCCUAUACGAGAACAUAUAUUUAAGAAAAAUGGAUUGAUUAUGUCAAGUGGCCAGGCAUGGAAGGAGCAAAGAAGGUUCACUCUGACAGCACUAAGGAACUUUGGUUUAGGAAAGAAGAGCUUAGAGGAACGCAUUCAGGAGGAGGCCCAACACCUCACUGAAGCAAUAAAAAAGGAGAACGGACAGCCUUUUGACCCUCAUUUCAAGAUCAACAAGGCAGUUUCCAAUAUCAUUUGCUCCAUCACCUUCGGAGAACGCUUUGAGUACCAGGAUAGUUGGUUUCAGCAGCUGCUGAAGUUACUGGAUGAAGUCACAUACUUGGAGGCUUCAAAGACAUGCCAGCUCUACAAUGUCUUUCCAUGGAUAAUGAAAUUCCUGCCUGGACCCCACCAAACUCUCUUCAGCAACUGGAAAAAACUGAAAUUGUUUGUUUCUCAUAUGAUUGACAAACACAGAAAGGACCGGAAUCCUGCAGAAACAAGAGACUUUAUUGAUGCUUACCUUAAAGAAAUGUCAAAGCACACAGGCAAUCCUACUUCAAGUUUCCAUGAAGAAAACCUCAUCUGCAGCACCCUGGACCUCUUCUUUGCCGGAACCGAGACAACUUCCACAACUCUGCGAUGGGCUCUGCUUUAUAUGGCCCUCUACCCAGAAAUCCAAGGGUACCAUGAUCCUGACCAAUUUGACGGCGCUGCACAGGGACCCCACAGAGUGGGCCACCCCUGACACAUUCAAUCCGGACCAUUUUCUGGAGAAUGGACAGUUUAAGAAAAGGGAAGCCUUUAUGCCUUUCUCAAUAGGAAAGCGGGCAUGCCUCGGAGAACAGUUGGCCAGGACUGAGCUGUUUAUUUUCUUCACUUCCCUUAUGCAAAAAUUUACCUUCAGGCCCCCAAACAAUGAGAAGCUGAGCCUGAAGUUUAGAAUGGGUAUCACCAUUUCCCCAGUCAGUCACCGCCUCUGCGCUGUUCCUCGGGUGUAAUAUUGUUAAGAAAGAAAGGGGCAAGGAAAGUAAGAAGACAUGGCAUGUGUUCUGAAACCACUGGUGUCUGCUCAGAUGUGUUGGGACAAAAUGAAAGUGACUUUCAAGAAAGAUCAGAGGAAUUUGACUCAGAGAAAACUAGAUCCAAAUCCCAGCUCUACUGUCUCGUCCAAAUUAGCCUUGGGAAAAUCAUUUAUAUGCUAAACAAUUUACCUUUUUAUCUAGGAGAUGAAAAGAGGAUAAUGAUUCCUUCCAUAAAGAAAGUUCUUGUAAGAAUCAAAAGAAAUGGUGAGCUUUAAGUGGUUUGUAAACCAUAAAACACAUCAUAAAA
rnacentral:sRNA from 1 species